rnacentral:ncRNA from 2 species
UAAAUUUAAUAACUCCGACUCUAUAUUACCUAAAAGAAUCAUUUCUUAUGGUGAAUAGAACCGCAGGGUAUUGUUGGAAACUUCAGUGCCUACCUUAUGGAAAGGAGUAAAAGAAUAUACCUG